GGGCCAUAGCUCAGUGAUAGAGCAUCAUUUUUGCAUGCAGAAGGUCCCAGGUUCAGACUCUGGCAUCUCCA